rnacentral:lncRNA from 1 species
AGUGAAUUACUGUUCCCAAGAAGCAGAGUUAACAUCAAGUGGACACAGUAACUAUGUUCUCGAUAACAACAGUCAUUGAGAAUUCAUUAUUUUUUCUCUACACUCAUCCUAUCAUUUCUCAUUUUCUUUUGAAUUUCUAUUUCAAGGUGUUGCAUAAAUUUUUUGGUCCUUGAGUAUUUUUAAACUAUAAUUUAUACUGGAGUUAUCAUAUGUUUAUACUUUGUUUUUUGAAUAAUCUGAUGAGUAUCCUCAAUAAAGAUUUGAUACUUCAAUCUGAUGAGUAUCCUCAAUAAAGAUUUGAUACUUUAAUUUCUUUUCUUGUUUCCCUCAUCUCUGGAUGCAUUAAAGGGUAUGUCAACUUUAUUUUAGGC